CCCCUCCCCUCCCCCGGCCAGCCCCUCCCCGGCGUGGCCCUGCGCCCUCUGUGGAGAACCCUCCAAGUGGACAGCUCCGGGCCCAGGCUGAGGCCUCCGGAGAGUCGGAGGACAAAACAGGGCCAGCAGCAGCCAGGGCGGAGGCACAAGUGGAGAGCAACUGUUCUGGAAGGUGCAUCGGAGGUGGCUGAGAUGUGAUGCAGAGAGAGCCGCUAGGAAAUCACUACCAAGUGCUGAGCGUGUAGUACAGUGGGUGAGCGAAGAAGGGAACCCGAUGUGAAGACGGAAGGAAGAGCGACGCAGCCGAGCCGGAAGUGGGGGCCACACCCAGCCCAGGCUUCUGGCUCGGUCAGAGGUUGCAGACCCCUGACGUGGGUGGAAAGAAAUCGAGGCUUCUUGCUGCAUCUUCAAAGCCCUCCAGGCCCGGGCCCGCCCAGUUCCCAGCCUCAUCUGCUGCAGCCCUCCCUCUCGGACCUGCCUGCUGCUCGAGCGCUCUCUCAGUGCCAUCUCCCUCUUCAGCCAGCCCGCCCAGCUACAUUGCGAUGGUCUGGGAGCUUCUCCUGGCCCUCUGGAGCCCCGGGGUCCUCCCAAGGGCUCUCCUCUAGUCUGACCUUUCACGUCCGCUCAAACCCACACUGAGAUCCUGCCCCUCGGGGUGGUGGUACUGGGAGGUGGGGCUUGGGGAGGUGGUUAGGUCCUAAGGGUGGAGCCCUCAUGAGAGAGGAGACCCCAGAGCUAGCGAGUCCCUUCCACCGUGAAGGUCACAGCCAGAAGAGGGUGCAUCCGUGAGGAAGCAGGCCCCCACCGACUCUGGGCCUGCUGCCUCCUUGGCCUCGGACACCCAGCCUCCCUGACUCCUGACUGGGAAAUUUCUUUCUGUCUGUCUGUCUGGCUGGCUGUCUCUUUCUUUCU